UGGCUCAGAUUGAACGCUGGCGGCAGGCCUAACACAUGCAAGUCGAGCGGAUGAAGAGAGCUUGCUCUCUGAUUUAGCGGCGGACGGGUGAGUAAUGCCUAGGAAUCUGCCUGGUAGUGGGGGAUAACGUUCCGAAAGGAACGCUAAUACCGCGUACGUCCUACGGGAGAAAGCAGGGGACCUUCGGGCCUUGCGCUAUCAGAUGAGCCUAGGUCGGAUUAGCUAGUUGGUGAGGUAAUGGCUCACCAAGGCGACGAUCCGUAACUGGUCUGAGAGGAUGAUCAGUCACACUGGAACUGAGACACGGUCCAGACUCCUACGGGAGGCAGCAGUGGGGAAUAUUGGACAAUGGGCGAAAGCCUGAUCCAGCCAUGCCGCGUGUGUGAAGAAGGUCUUCGGAUUGUAAAGCACUUUAAGUUGGGAGGAAGGGCGUUUGGCUAAUAUCCAGGCGUUUUGACGUUACCAACAGAAUAAGCACCGGCUAACUUCGUGCCAGCAGCCGCGGUAAUACGAAGGGUGCAAGCGUUAAUCGGAAUUACUGGGCGUAAAGCGCGCGUAGGUGGUUCGUUAAGUUGGAUGUGAAAGCCCCGGGCUCAACCUGGGAACUGCAUCCAAAACUGGCGAGCUAGAGUACGGUAGAGGGUAGUGGAAUUUCCUGUGUAGCGGUGAAAUGCGUAGAUAUAGGAAGGAACACCAGUGGCGAAGGCGACUACCUGGACUGAUACUGACA
rnacentral:rRNA from 1 species